rnacentral:rRNA from 1 species
CUGCCCUUGGGUUCGGAAUAACAGUGAGAAAUUACUGCUAAUACCGGAUGAUGACUUCGGUCCAAAGAUUUAUCGCCCAAGGAUGAGCCCGCGUAAGAUUAGCUAGUUGGUGAGGUAAAGGCUCACCAAGGCGACGAUCUUUAGCUGGUCUGAGAGGAUGAUCAGCCACACUGGGACUGAGACACGGCCCAGACUCCUACGGGAGGCAGCAGUGGGGAAUAUUGGACAAUGGGCGAAAGCCUGAUCCAGCAAUGCCGCGUGAGUGAUGAAGGCCUUAGGGUUGUAAAGCUCUUUUACCAGGGAUGAUAAUGACAGUACCUGGAGAAUAAGCUCCGGCUAACUCCGUGCCAGCAGCCGCGGUAAUACGGAGGGAGCUAGCGUUGUUCGGAAUUACUGGGCGUAAAGCGCACGUAGGCGGCCAUUCAAGUCAGAGGUGAAAGCCCGGGGCUCAACCCCGGAACUGCCUUUGAAACUAGAUGGCUUGAAUCUUGGAGAGGCGAGUGGAAUUCCGAGUGUAGAGGUGAAAUUCGUAGAUAUUCGGAAGAACACCAGUGGCGAAGGCGACUCGCUGGACAAGUAUUGACGCUGAGGUGCGAAAGCGUGGGG